rnacentral:rRNA from 1 species
GAUGAACGCUAGCGGCAGGCUUAAUACAUGCAAGUCGAGGGGCAGCAGCUCUGUAGCAAUACAGAGGCUGGCGACCGGCAAACGGGUGCGGAACACGUACGCAACUUACCCAUAACUGGUGAAUAGCCCUCCGAAAGGAGGAUUAAUACAUCGUAACAUAAUGAGAUGGCAUCAUUUUUAUUAUUAUAGCUCUCGGGCGGUUAUGGAUGGGCGUGCGGCUGAUUAGGUAGUUGGCGGAGUAAUAGCCCACCAAGCCAACGAUCAGUAACUGGUGUGAGAGCACGACCAGUCACACGGGCACUGAGACACGGGGCCCGACUCCUACGGGAGCAGCAGUAAGGAAUUAUUGGUCAAUGGACGCAAGUCUGAACCAGCCAUGCCGCGUGAAGGAUGAA